rnacentral:lncRNA from 1 species
AGGGAGAGGUGGGCCGAGGCAGGGAGAGGUGUGCCGAGGCAGGGAGAGCUGGGCCGAGGCAGGGAGAGGUGGGCCAAGGCAGGGAGAGCUGGGCCGAGGCAGGUGGGUUUCUCUUAGCUGUGCAUCACAGGCCGAGGUGUGGUGGCUCCUGUCUGCUGCCAAUGACAUGCCCAUUAGGCACCCCCUGAGGGAAAGGUUGUUUUGUCUGGGUCCUGUAGACUCCCCUCCCUGCUUCACCUGGGCUUUCAGGUCUAUGGGUUCCUGAAAUCAGUCAAGGUGAUGGUAGGGCCCCUUGCUCCUGGUCCAGGCACAUCAGG